rnacentral:rRNA from 1 species
UACGUAGGGCGCAAGCGUUAUCCGGAAUUAUUGGGCGUAAAGAGCUCGUAGGCGGUUUGUCGCGUCUGCCGUGAAAGUCCGGGGCUCAACUCCGGAUCUGCGGUGGGUACGGGGCAGACUAGAGUGAUGUAGGGGGAGACUGGAAUUCCUGGUGUAGCGGUGAAAUGCGCAGAUAUCAGGAGGAACACCGAUGGCGAAGGCAGGUCUCUGGGCAUUUAACUGACGUGAGGAGCGAAAAGCAUGGGGGAGCGAACAGG